UCAAAAGGAUGAGCAAAGAAAGUGGUUUCUCGAGAUGCAAUCUACUUCUGGUGAAGAUGCUGUAAA
rnacentral:pre_miRNA from 1 species